UUUGAGUGUAGGAUGCAAUGAGUCUUUGAAUCGAUGUUUUUUCAAUACAUAUUGUAUUACCCUGAAGCUGGAAUGUGAAUUAAUCCAAUGGAAAUAAUUCAAGUUUAAUUAAAAAACGAAACGAUUUAGUUUUUAAAUUAAUUUUGAUUGAAUGGAAAAUGUCUAUUCAAAUGAUCCGCCAUUGUGUUCAAUGGCUGAGUUUGAAUAUUGACCGUUAAGUUAACGCGCCAACUCUAUGUUAUUAUAAUUAUAAACUUUUAAUUAUUUUAGCUGUGAUUUAAUAGUCAAUGAAUUUUUACCUUUUUAUCCUUAAUAGAUUAUCGUUCAUCAAUUUAAUUCAAGUGAAUCCCAAGAAUCUUAGUUUUCUGAUCAUUAAAGGAUUUCAGUUUAUUACAAGUAAUGUUGUAUUUUUGUAACAUUUGGAAUAUUCAAGCGACCGGUUCUUUUUCCUGACCUUAAAGGACAAUAUGGAUUGACAGUGAUUAUUAUAAUGAUUUAUUGAAAGUGGCUUUUAAAUCGAGAGGUUCAGGACAAUCGAGGCCUUUAAUGAGAAACAAAUAUCCCUUACAAGAUUAGAAGACUGAACUUGAAGAAUGGAGACUGAAGAUGUUUAAUUAAAACACUUAAUGAACAAAAAAGGACGAGUUUAUGGAUUGGAUCUCACCAGUGAACAAAAAAUUUCAAUUUACUAGCUAUGGGAAAACCGACCUUGGUUUUAUUGAAUUUACGAUUUGAAUCGAGCCUUCUUUCAAUUAAUAAAAAAGGAAGCAAAUAUUGGCAAUGAUGAUGCUGAUAGUAAUGAUGGCUGUGAUUAAAAUUAGUUGCUCUUCAAUGUUUAACCAGUCUGCUAAUCGCCAAAUGCGCCUUCUCCUUGAUUUUUUUAUACUGUACUUCCAUCGAGUAAGGAAAGUCCCAAAUAUAACAUUGAUGAAAAGUCUAGUCAAGGGUUGGCCGUGUAAAUAUGGUUUCCAUGAGGCCAGAGAAUAUGAACAGAAGAUUUCAUUGGAUAUGGAAAUGGCAAAAAUGCAAUGAAAGUAACCAAGGACUGAUGCACUUACAGUUUUAAUUAAUCGACUCGCCGUUACGGCAAUCAAGCAAUGAAGUUAUUAGCU